UGGGGAAUAUUGCGCAAUGGGCGAAAGCCUGACGCAGCGACGCCGCGUGAGGGAGGAAGGUUUUCGGAUCGUAAACCUCUGUCAGAAGGGAAGAAACCGCACUGUGCUAAUCAGCAGUGCCUUGACGGUACCUUCAAAGGAAGCACCGGCUAACUCCGUGCCAGCAGCCGCGGUAAUACGGAGGGUGCAAGUGUUAAUCGGAAUUACUGGGCGUAAAGCGCACGUAGGCUGCAUUGUAAGUCAGGGGUGAAAUCCCACGGCUCAACCGUAGAACUGCCUUUGAUACUGCUUAGCUUGAAUCCGGGAGAGGGUGGCGGAAUUCCAGGUGUAGGAGUGAAAUCCGUAGAUAUCUGGAGGAACAUCAGUGGCGAAGGCGGCCACCUGGACCGGUAUUGACGCUGAGGUGCGAAAGCGUGGGGAGCAAACAGG
rnacentral:rRNA from 1 species